GGGUUGUGAGGUUAAGCGACUAAGCGUACACGGUGGAUGCCCUGGCAGUCAGAGGCGAUGAAGGACGUGCUAAUCUGCGAAAAGCGUCGGUAAGGUGAUAUGAACCGUUAUAACCGGCGAUGUCCGAAUGGGGAAACCCAGUGCAAUUCGUUGCACUAUCGUUAACUGAAUACAUAGGUUAACGAGGCGAACCGGGGGAACUGAAACAUCUAAGUACCCCGAGGAAAAGAAAUCAACCGAGAUUCCCCCAGUAGCGGCGAGCGAACGGGGAGCAGCCCAGAGUCUGAAUCAGCUUGUGUGUUAGUGGAACGGUCUGGAAAGUCCGACGGUACAGGGUGAUAGUCCCGUACACCAAAAUGCACAGGUUGUGAACUCGAAGAGUAGGGCGGGACACGUGGUAUCCUGUCUGAAUAUGGGGGGACCAUCCUCCAAGGCUAAAUACUCCUGACUGACCGAUAGUGAACCAGUACCGUGAGGGAAAGGCGAAAAGAACCCCGGCGAGGGGAGUGAAAAAGAACCUGAAACCGUGUACGUACAAGCAGUGGGAGCACCUUCGGGUGUGACUGCGUACCUUUUGUAUAAUGGGUCAGCGACUUAUAUUCUGUAGCAAGGUUAACCGUAUAGGGGAGCCGCAGGGAAACCGAGUCUUAACUGGGCGUUAAGUUGCAGGGUAUAGACCCGAAACCCGGUGAUCUAGCCAUGGGCAGGUUGAAGGUUGGGUAACACUAACUGGAGGACCGAACCGACUAAUGUUGAAAAAUUAGCGGAUGACUUGUGGCUGGGGGUGAAAGGCCAAUCAAACCGGGAGAUAGCUGGUUCUCCCCGAAAGCUAUUUAGGUAGCGCCUCGUGAACUCAUCUUCGGGGGUAGAGCACUGUUUCGGCUAGGGGGUCAUCCCGACUUACCAACCCGAUGCAAACUACGAAUACCGAAGAAUGUUAUCACGGGAGACACACGGCGGGUGCUAACGUCCGUCGUGAAGAGGGAAACAACCCAGACCGCCAGCUAAGGUCCCAAAGUCAUGGUUAAGUGGGAAACGAUGUGGGAAGGCACAGACAGCCAGGAUGUUGGCUUAGAAGCAGCCAUCAUUUAAAGAAAGCGUAAUAGCUCACUGGUCGAGUCGGCCUGCGCGGAAGAUGUAACGGGGCUAAACCAUGCACCGAAGCUGCGGCAGCGACACUAUGUGUUGUUGGGUAGGGGAGCGUUCUGUAAGCCUGCGAAGGUGACCUGUGAGGGUUGCUGGAGGUAUCAGAAGUGCGAAUGCUGACAUAAGUAACGAUAAAGCGGGUGAAAAGCCCGCUCGCCGGAAGACCAAGGGUUCCUGUCCAACGUUAAUCGGGGCAGGGUGAGUCGACCCCUAAGGCGAGGCCGAAAGGCGUAGUCGAUGGGAAACAGGUUAAUAUUCCUGUACUUGGUGUUACUGCGAAGGGGGGACGGAGAAGGCUAUGUUAGCCGGGCGACGGUUGUCCCGGUUUAAGCAUGUAGGCUGGUUGUCCAGGCAAAUCCGGAUAAUCAAGGCUGAGGUGUGAUGACGAGGCACUACGGUGCUGAAGUAACAAAUGCCCUGCUUCCAGGAAAAGCCUCUAAGCAUCAGGUAACAUUGAAUCGUACCCCAAACCGACACAGGUGGUCAGGUAGAGAAUACCAAGGCGCUUGAGAGAACUCGGGUGAAGGAACUAGGCAAAAUGGUGCCGUAACUUCGGGAGAAGGCACGCUGGUGUGUAGGUGAAGUCCCUGCGGAUGGAGCUGAGACCAGUCGAAGAUACCAGCUGGCUGCAACUGUUUAUUAAAAACACAGCACUGUGCAAACACGAAAGUGGACGUAUACGGUGUGACGCCUGCCCGGUGCCGGAAGGUUAAUUGAUGGGGUUAUCCGUAAGGAGAAGCUCUUGAUCGAAGCCCCGGUAAACGGCGGCCGUAACUAUAACGGUCCUAAGGUAGCGAAAUUCCUUGUCGGGUAAGUUCCGACCUGCACGAAUGGCGUAAUGAUGGCCAGGCUGUCUCCACCCGAGACUCAGUGAAAUUGAACUCGCUGUGAAGAUGCAGUGUACCCGCGGCAAGACGGAAAGACCCCGUGAACCUUUACUAUAGCUUGACACUGAACAUUGAGCCUUGAUGUGUAGGAUAGGUGGGAGGCUUUGAAGCGUGGACGCCAGUCUGCGUGGAGCCAACCUUGAAAUACCACCCUUUAAUGUUUGAUGUUCUAACGUUGGCCCCUGACCGGGGUUGCGGACAGUGUCUGGUGGGUAGUUUGACUGGGGCGGUCUCCUCCCAAAGCGUAACGGAGGAGCACGAAGGUUAGCUAAUCCUGGUCGGACAUCAGGAGGUUAGUGCAAUGGCAUAAGCUAGCUUGACUGCGAGCGUGACGGCGCGAGCAGGUGCGAAAGCAGGUCAUAGUGAUCCGGUGGUUCUGAAUGGAAGGGCCAUCGCUCAACGGAUAAAAGGUACUCCGGGGAUAACAGGCUGAUACCGCCCAAGAGUUCAUAUCGACGGCGGUGUUUGGCACCUCGAUGUCGGCUCAUCACAUCCUGGGGCUGAAGUAGGUCCCAAGGGUAUGGCUGUUCGCCAUUUAAAGUGGUACGCGAGCUGGGUUUAGAACGUCGUGAGACAGUUCGGUCCCUAUCUGCCGUGGGCGCUGGAGAAUUGAGGGGGGCUGCUCCUAGUACGAGAGGACCGGAGUGGACGCAUCACUGGUGUUCGGGUUGUCAUGCCAAUGGCACUGCCCGGUAGCUAAAUGCGGAAGAGAUAAGUGCUGAAAGCAUCUAAGCACGAAACUUGCCCCGAGAUGAGUUCUCCCUGAGACUUUAAGUCUCCUGAAGGAACGUUGAAGACGACGACGUUGAUAGGCCGGGUGUGUAAGCGCAGCGAUGCGUUGAGCUAACCGGUACUAAUGAACCGUGAGGCUUAACCUUACAACGCCGAAG
rnacentral:rRNA from 1 species